UAAUACCGCAUACGUCCUACGGGAGAAAGCAGGGGACCUUCGGGCCUUGCGCUAUCAGAUGAGCCUAGGUCGGAUUAGCUAGUUGGUGGGGUAAUGGCUCACCAAGGCGACGAUCCGUAACUGGUCUGAGAGGAUGAUCAGUCACACUGGAACUGAGACACGGUCCAGACUCCUACGGGAGGCAGCAGUGGGGAAUAUUGGACAAUGGGCGAAAGCCUGAUCCAGCCAUGCCGCGUGUGUGAAGAAGGUCUUCGGAUUGUAAAGCAC
rnacentral:rRNA from 1 species